GAUGAACGCUGGCGGCGUGCCUAAUACAUGCAAGUCGAGCGAACAGACGAGGAGCUUGCUGCUCUGACGUUAGCGGCGGACGGGUGAGUAACACGUGGAUAACCUACCUAUAAGACUGGGAUAACUUCGGGAAACCGGAGCUAACACCGGAUAAUAUAUUGAACCGCAUGGUUCAAUAGAGAAAGACGGCUUUGCUGUCACUUAUAGAUGGAUCCGCGCCGCAUUAGCUAGUUGGUAAGGUAACGGCUUACCAAGGCGACGAUGCGUAGCCGACCUGAGAGGGUGAUCGGCCACACUGGAACUGAGACACGGUCCAGACUCCUACGGGAGGCAGCAGUAGGGAAUCUUCCGCAAUGGGCGAAAGCCUGACGGAGCAACGCCGCGUGAGUGAUGAAGGUCUUCGGAUCGUAAAGCUCUGUUAUUGGGGAAGAACAAAUGUGUAAGUAACUAUGCACGUCUUGACGGUACCUGAUCAGAAAGCAACGGCUAACUACGUG
rnacentral:rRNA from 1 species